UUGAAUUGAAGAGUUUGAUCAUGGCUCAGAUUGAACGCUGGCGGCAGGCUUAACACAUGCAAGUCGAACGGUAGCAGGAAGGAAGCUUGCUUUCUUUGCUGACGAGUGGCGGACGGGUGAGUAAUGCUUGGGAAUCUGGCUUAUGGAGGGGGAUAACUGCGGGAAACUGCAGCUAAUACCGCGUAAAGUCUUUGGACUAAAGGGGGCGUUUGCUCUUGCCAUAAGAUGAGCCCAAGUGGGAUUAGGUAGUUGGUGGGGUAAUGGCUCACCAAGCCGUCGAUCUCUAGCUGGUCUGAGAGGAUGACCAGCCACACCGGGACUGAGACACGGCCCGGACUCCUACGGGAGGCAGCAGUGGGGAAUAUUGCGCAAUGGGGGGAACCCUGACGCAGCCAUGCCGCGUGAAUGAAGAAGGCCUUCGGGUUGUAAAGUUCUUUCGGUGAUGAGGAAGGCAGUUUGGUUAAUAGCCAAGCUGAUUGACGUUAGUCACAGAAGAAGCACCGGCUAACUCCGUGCCAGCAGCCGCGGUAAUACGGAGGGUGCGAGCGUUAAUCGGAAUAACUGGGCGUAAAGGGCACGCAGGCGGAUUUUUAAGUGAGGUGUGAAAGCCC
rnacentral:rRNA from 1 species